UGAGGAAUAUUGGUCAAUGGACGCAAGUCUGAACCAGCCAUGCCGCGUGCAGGAUGACGGUCCUAUGGAUUGUAAACUGCUUUUGUACGAGAAGAAACACUCCUACGUGUAGGAGCUUGACGGUAUCGUAAGAAUAAGGAUCGGCUAACUCCGUGCCAGCAGCCGCGGUAAUACGGAGGAUCCAAGCGUUAUCCGGAAUCAUUGGGUUUAAAGGGUCCGUAGGCGGUUUAGUAAGUCAGUGGUGAAAGCCCAUCGCUCAACGGUGGAACGGCCAUUGAUACUGCUAGACUUGAAUUAUUAGGAAGUAACUAGAAUAUGUAGUGUAGCGGUGAAAUGCUUAGAGAUUACAUGGAAUACCAAUUGCGAAGGCAGGUUACUACUAAUUGAUUGACGCUGAUGGACGAAAGCGUGGGUAGCGAACA
rnacentral:rRNA from 1 species